UGUGAUAAAAGUACGAAACCAUAGUAUUCGCCGAGAGAUAUACCAUAGUGUUUCGAAGCAGAGCUUUAGCUUCUUCUAUAUUGAUGGAGACAAGGAUGGCAAGCCUUCACAACCCCUUCAACCCAUGCUAUUACAGUAGUAGAGAAAUUCUUUGUGCACUGCAGGCGGUGCAGAACCACGCAUAUCGCUCGUGGUGAUUGAUUUCCACGUGGGGCUGACGAAAAUUUUUUUUUCACACGUCACAUCCCGGCCUCAUGCAUGAAUCA
rnacentral:lncRNA from 1 species